CCUACGGGAGGCAGCAGUGAGGAAUAUUGGUCAAUGGUCGGGAGACUGAACCAGCCAAGCCGCGUGAGGGAUGAAGGUACAGAGUAUCGUAAACCUCUUUUGUCAGGGAACAAAGGCGGGGACGUGUCCCCGGAUGAGUGUACCUGAAGAAAAAGCAUCGGCUAACUCCGUGCCAGCAGCCGCGGUAAUACGGAGGAUGCGAGCGUUAUCCGGAUUUAUUGGGUUUAAAGGGUGCGCAGGCGGUCUGUUAAGUCAGCGGUCAAAGCCCGGGGCUCAACCCCGGCCCGCCGUUGAAACUGGCAGUCUAGAGUUGGAGAGAAGUAUGCGGAAUGCGCGGUGUAGCGGUGAAAUGCAUAGAUAUCGCGCAGAACUCCGAUUGCGAAGGCAGCAUGCCGGCUCCACACUGACGCUGAGGCACGAAAGCGUGGGUAUCGAACAGGAUUAGAUACCUGGGUAGUC
rnacentral:rRNA from 1 species